GAUGAACGCUAGCGGCGGGAUUAAUACAUCCAAGUCGAGGGGUGGUAGCAAUACUACAGCGGCGCACGGGAGCGGAACGCUUUUGCAAUCUAACUUUAUCUGGGGGAUAGCCCAGGGAAACCCGGAGUAAUAACGCAACACAAAUUGAUUGGCAUCAAUUAAUUGUAAAAGAAUUAUCUGAUAGAGUUGAGCAUGCGGAAGAUGAGAUAGUUGGCGAGUUAACAGCUCACCAAGACUACGAUCUUUAGGGGCUCUGAGAGGAGACACACCCACACUGGCACUGAGAUACGGGCCAGACUCCUAGGGGGGGAAGCAGUAGGUAAUAUUGGGCAAUGGGCGCAAGUCUGACCCAGCCACGCCGCGUGCAGAAAGAAGGCCCUCUGGGUUGUAAACUGCUUUUGACCGGGAAGAAAAGAAUCUUUGCGAAGAUAGUUGACGGUACCGGCAGAAUAAGCCACGGCUAACUACGUGCCAGCCGCCGCUGUAACAC
rnacentral:rRNA from 1 species